AUGAACGCUGGCGGCGUGCCUCAUACAUGCAAGUCGCGCGAACAGACGAGGAGCUUGCUCCUCUGACGUUAGCGGCGGACGGGUGAGUAACACGUGGAUAACCUACCUAUAAGACUGGGAUAACUUCGGGAAACCGGAGCUAAUACCGGAUAAUAUAUUGAACCGCAUAGUUCAAUAGUGAAAGACGGUUUUGCUGUCACUUAUAGAUGGAUCCGCGCCGCAUUAGCUAGUUGGUAAGGUAACGGCUUACCAAGGCGACGAUGCGUAGCCGACCUGAGAGGGUGAUCGGCCACACUGGAACUGAGACACGGUCCAGACUCCUACGGGAGGCAGCAGUAGGGAAUCUUCCGCAAUGGGCGAAAGCCUGACGGAGCAACGCCGCGUGAGUGAUGAAGGUCUUCGGAUCGUAAAACUCUGUUAUUAGGGAAGAACAAAUGUGUAAGUAACUAUGCACGUCUUGACGGUACCUAAUCAGAAAGCCACGGCUAACUACGUG
rnacentral:rRNA from 1 species